AGAGUUUGAUCCUGGCUCAGGACGAACGCUGGCGGCGUGCCUAAUACAUGCAAGUCGAGCGAGCGGAACUAACAGAUUUACUUCGGUAAUGACGUUAGGAAAGCGAGCGGCGGAUGGGUGAGUAACACGUGGGGAACCUGCCCCAUAGUCUGGGAUACCACUUGGAAACAGGUGCUAAUACCGGAUAAGAAAGCAGAUCGCAUGAUCAGCUUUUAAAAGGCGGCGUAAGCUGUCGCUAUGGGAUGGCCCCGCGGUGCAUUAGCUAGUUGGUAAGGUAAAGGCUUACCAAGGCGAUGAUGCAUAGCCGAGUUGAGAGACUGAUCGGCCACAUUGGGACUGAGACACGGCCCAAACUCCUACGGGAGGCAGCAGUAGGGAAUCUUCCACAAUGGACGCAAGUCUGAUGGAGCAACGCCGCGUGAGUGAAGAAGGUUUUCGGAUCGUAAA
rnacentral:rRNA from 1 species